rnacentral:rRNA from 1 species
AGCUCCAAUAGCGUAUAUUAAAGUUGUUUGCGGUUAAAAAAGCUCGUAGUUGGAUUCUGCCGAGGACGACCGGUCCGCCACUGGGUGUGCAUCUGGCUCGGCCUGGGCAUCUUCUUGGAGAACGUAUCUGCACUUCACUGUGUGGUGCGGUAUCCAGGACUUUUACUUUGAGGAAAUUAGAGUGUUUCAAGCAGGCACAC